rnacentral:tmRNA from 1 species
GGGGGUGACUGGUUUCGACUUCGUACGUUGACACAGGGGAAGCGGGCCGAGGAAGCCGACGUCGUCUCGUUAAUCGUCGUCGGAAAAAAAUAAGCGCCAAGUCUAAUCGCGCUCAGUUCGCCCUCGCCGCCUGAGGCUAGGAGCGAACUUGUCGGCCUAGGAGUGUCUCCGACCUAGAGUCCGGCAUCAGCUAGGGGACUCACCGGUCAGGCUCGGCUACGGGGCUUGACGGGACGAGAACAGUAGCUGGGCCCGUCACACCGACUCGCUCGCGUGAUCGGUGGGGCCAAGCAGAGGCACAGCGAGCUGCGCCCGGAGAAGCCCUGUCGAACCGGCGAAGGACCCGGGUUCAAUUCCCGGCACCUCCACGA